GUGAGAUGAUGAUCGUGUUUAUCCAUUCUCUGAGUGCUUGCUAGGGUCCUACUUUCUCUGUGGUGCUCAUGCCUGUUUUAGCCACUCUUGCCACCUCAGUGUUCUACUGGGGCAGCUUGUGGUGGAGAAAGGGGUAGGACUGGAGGGCCCUGCAAAACAAAGACGAGUUGACACACCUGAUCAC